rnacentral:rRNA from 1 species
CAGCCGCCGCGGUAAUACCGGCGGCCCGAGUGGCGGUCACUAUUAUUGGGCUUAAAGCGUCCGUAGCCGGGUUGGGAAGGCCUCCGGGAAAUCUGGCCGCUUAACGGUCAGAAUGCCGGAGGAUACUCCCAGCCUAGGGAGCGGGAGAGGCCGAGGGUAUUCCCGGAGUAGGGGCGGAAUCCUAUAAUCCCGGGAGGACCACCUGUGGCGAAGGCGCUCGGCUGGAACGCGUCCGACGGUGAGGGACGAAGGCCAGGGGAGCAAACCGGAUUAGAUACCCGGGUAGUCCUGGCUGUAAACGAUGCGGACUUUGUGUCGGACAAGCUAUGAGCUUGUCCGGUGCCGGAGGGAAACCGUUAAGUCCGCCGCCUGGGGAGUACGGCCGCAAGGCUGAAACUUAAAGGAAUUGGCGGG